GACGAACGCUGGCGGCGUGCUUAACACAUGCAAGUCGAACGGAAAGGCCCUGCUUUUGUGGGGUGCUCGAGUGGCGAACGGGUGAGUAACACGUGAGUAACCUGCCCUUGACUUUGGGAUAACUUCAGGAAACUGGGGCUAAUACCGGAUAGGAGCUCCUGCUGCAUGGUGGGGGUUGGAAAGUUUCGGCGGUUGGGGAUGGACUCGCGGCUUAUCAGCUUGUUGGUGGGGUAGUGGCUUACCAAGGCUUUGACGGGUAGCCGGCCUGAGAGGGUGACCGGCCACAUUGGGACUGAGAUACGGCCCAGACUCCUACGGGAGGCAGCAGUGGGGAAUAUUGCACAAUGGGCGGAAGCCUGAUGCAGCAACGCCGCGUGCGGGAUGACGGCCUUCGGGUUGUAAACCGCUUUCGCCUGUGACGAGGCGUGAGUGACGGUAAUGGGUAAAGAAGCACCGACUAACUACGUG
rnacentral:rRNA from 1 species